UACGGGGGGGGCAAGCGUUGUUCGGAAUUACUGGGCGUAAAGGGCUCGUAGGUGGCCAACUAAGUCAGACGUGAAAUCCCUCGGCUUAACCGGGGAACUGCGUCUGAUACUGGAUGGCUUGAGUUCGGGAGAGGGAUGCGGAAUUCCAGGUGUAGCGGUGAAAUGCGUAGAUAUCUGGAGGAAUACCGGUGGCGAAGGCGGCAUCCUGGACCGACAUUGACGCUGAUGAGCGAAAGCCAGGGGAGCAAACAGG
rnacentral:rRNA from 1 species